CUGCGAGUGAAGCGGGAAAAGCUCAAAUUUAAAAUCUGGCGGUCUCUGGCCGUCCGAGUUGUAAUCUAGAGAAGUAAUGCCCGUGCUGGACCGUGUAUAAGUCUCCUGGGAUGGGGCGUCAUAGAGGGUGAGAAUCCCGUCUUUGACACGGACUACCAGUGCAUUGUGGUAUGCUCUCAAAGAGUCGAGUUGUUUGGGAAUGCAGCUCAAAAUGGGUGGUAAAUUCCAUCUAAAGCUAAAUAUUGGCGAGAGACCGAUAGCGAACAAGUACCGUGAGGGAAAGAUGAAAAGAACUUUGGAAAGAGAGUUAAACAGUACGUGAAAUUGCUGAAAGGGAAACGCUUGAAGUCAGUCGCGUUGACCGGGGAUCAGCCUUGCUUUUGCAUGGUGUACUUUCUGGUUGACGGGUCAGCAUCAAUUUUGACCGCUGGAAAAAGACCUGGGGAAUGUGGCAGCUUCGGCUGUGUUAUAGCCCCUAGUCGCAUACAGUGGUUGGGAUUGAGGAACUCAGCACGCCGCAAGGCCGGGUUUCGACCACGUUCGUGCUUAGGAUGCUGGCAUAAUGGCUUUAAGCGACCCGUCUUGAAACACGGACCAAGGAGUCUAACAUGCCUGCGAGUAUUUGGGUGGAAAACCCAAGUGCGUAAUGAAAGUGAAAGUUGAGAUCCCUGUCGUGGGGAGCAUCGACGCCCGGACCAGAACUUUUGGGACGGAUCCGCGGUGGAGCAUGUAUGUUGGGACCCGAAAGAUGGUGAACUAUGCCUGAAUAGGGUGAAGCCAGAGGAAACUCUGGUGGAGGCUCGUAGCGAUUCUGACGUGCAAAUCGAUCGU
rnacentral:rRNA from 1 species